rnacentral:lncRNA from 1 species
CCAAAUUUCAGUAUUAUAAUGUCUGAUGGUUAAUGUGAUGUCACUGAAUGCAGAUUGAGAAGACUGUACAAAAUCAACUCUCAUGGGCCAAUGCAAGAGAUUUCCAACACAACAGUGCAUAUAGGAUUUUGAAGAUUAUAUUCUCCAAAAAUGGUCAAGAUGAUAUCACCUCUCCCACCAUUCAUUUUAUGAUGUGGCUUUGAUAUUCUCACUGAAGACUAGGAUCCCUUUUAUCCAAGGACUCAUGACUACAGCAGAAGUGUUGCUAUGUGACAUCUGAGGCUAGGUCAUAAAGGAAGUUCAGCUCCUUCUUUGAUCUCUUCAUCUUUUUGCUCUUCAAAUGAGGGAAGCACAUUCUGAAGAAGACUGGGCAGAUACAUGGACAGGCUACAUGCAGGUGUUUUCACCCGCAGCUGAGUUCCCAGUUGAUAGAAUUAACAACACUCAUGUGAGUAAAUGAACCUUUGGAUAAAUCCAGUCCUCAGACAAGUCCACUCUGGCCUUUGGGUGAGAAAAACUAAAAUGGCUUUCUAUAAAGGGUUUGAAUCUGGAAAUAGGAAGAUAAGUCCCAAAUGGAACACCCAACCUCAGGGAGCUUAGGAGGCUGCUAAAGCUGAUGGAAGUGGCAGAGCAAGACAUGUAAGAAGAAGCUACAUAAGUGGAAAGAAUACCUGAGUAUGAAAACACAAGAGCAAUAUGGCCGAAAACUUGUAUACUAUAAAGACUUUCCUUGGGAUACAUACAACCCAUUCUGCAGACUACUGCCAAUUGAAGAGUAUGCACACCAGCAUGGAGAAUGGGGAGGCAAAAGGAGAGAAUCUUCAAGCAAACUCCCCCAAGACCCAUAAGAUAUGACCUGAGCCACCCAGGGCUAAUCCUUUCUUCAGCUACCUCCAUUGUGCUGUCUGGAAUAGCUUGUGAUUGCUGAACGUGGAGGAGACAUCUUGAAUAAUGAUUUGGCCUUGGGAACAGAAACAAAGCACCAAGCAAGAAUGUAGAAGAAAUCUAUAGUUUUUGUAUUUUUUCAGCAACAUGCCACCACUUUCUAAUUUUUAUAAAUAUAUCAUGUAAAAAAUGCUAUUUUCCCAAUGUCAUUUCACGCUUUGUGUCACUCAUAUUUAAGCAUAAUUUUAACUACUAUGUAUUCGCUAUCCCUUCCUUCUCCAUUCUAGUAGCAAGUCCUUACUUAUCUACAAGUAAUCCUAACGCUUAACUAGCUUACUCAUUUUUAGAGUGUAUGUUAGCAUUCAUUUGUUCAAAUGCAUAUUUAAUGUUUGCCUGUCAGUUUAUUACGUGACAAGCAAAAGAAAAGUGAAAAGUUCUUUCAUCAUGG